rnacentral:rRNA from 1 species
GACGAACGCUGGCGGCGUGCUUAACACAUGCAAGUCGAACGGAAAGGCCUGCUUUCCCUUGUGGAUUGCGGGUACUCGAGUGGCGAACGGGUGAGUAACACGUGAGUGAUCUGCCCCCAACUUGGGUAUAAGCCUGGGAAACUGGGUCUAAUUCCCGAUAGGACUGCAGGGUGGUGCCUGUGGUGGAAAACGAUUUUCUAGUGGCUGGGGAUGAGCUCGCGGCCUAUCAGCUUGUUGGUGGGGUAAUGGCCUACCAAGGCGGCGACGGGUAGCCGGCCUGGGAGGGUGGACGGCCACAUUGGGACUGAGAUACGGCCCAGACUCCUACGGGAGGCAGCAGUGGGGAAUAUUGCACAAUGGGCGGAAGCCUGAUGCAGCGACGCCGCGUGGGGGAUGACGGCCUUCGGGUUGUAAACUCCUUUCGACCGCGAGGAAGCCACCUGGUUGGAAGGGUGGUGACGGUAGUGGUAGAAGAAGCACCGGCUAACCACGUG